rnacentral:rRNA from 1 species
AUUGAACGCUGGCGGCAGGCCUAACACAUGCAAGUCGAGCGGAGCGGCGGACGGGUGAGUAUUGCCUAGGAAUCUGCCUGGUAGUGGGGGAUAACGUUCGGAAACGGGCGCUAAUACCGCACACUAUCAGAUGAGCCUAGGCCGGUGUAGCUAGUUGGUGUGGUAAAGGUCUACCAAGGCGACGAUCCGUAACUGGUCUGAGAGGAUGAUCAGUCACACUGGGACUGAGACACGGUCCAGACUCCUACGGGAGGCAGCAGUGGGGAAUAUUGGACAAUGGGCGAAAGCCUGAUCCAGCCAUGCCGCGUGUGUGAAGAAGGUCUUCGGAUUGUAAAGCACUUUAAGUUGGGAGGCGUUACCAACAGAAUAAGCACCGGCUAACUUCGUGCCAGCAGCCGCGGUAAUAC